rnacentral:rRNA from 1 species
AUUGCAGGCUGCAACUCGCCUGCAUGAAGUUGGAAUUGCUAGUAAUCGCGAAUCAGAAUGUCGCGGUGAAUACGUUCCCGGGCCUUGUACACACCGCCCGUCACACCAUGAGAGCCGAUAACACCCGAAGCCUGUGAGCUAACCGUAAGGGGGCAGCAGUCGAAGGUGGGGUUGGUGAUUGGGGUGAAGUCGUAACAAGGUAUC